CACUGCAUUUGUCUACUUGAUGACAUUUAUUGUAAGAUUCAUGCGUUGAAUGUUCAUCUGAUGUUCAAAUUGUGGGUGGCAUUUGACAGAUGGUGUUAUCUUUGCUUGCUGAAUACCGUAUAUGAAUUCAUCUGAUACAUUAGAUGUCACUGAUGCAUUUGAAAAUCUGUCACUGUUUCCAAUUUGUGCUUGUUAAUGUGUAAGGUUUAACGUAUGAGGUAAUAGUGUAGUGAACAAGUGCUUUCUUAGUUAUAAUUGAGAUGAAGAAACUAAUUCUUAUCUUUUUGUGCUACGGUAGACUGUCUUUUUACUCACCUUUACUGUGAUAAAGAUCUUCAGAGGCUGUGUUUCUUUUUUUUCAAGACUUUGAAGUUAAUUGAAGUUAAUAAUGAUUGUUGUACUCUGCAGCUCUUUUGAGAAUUGACAAUACGGUUGCUUUGCUAUUUCAUAGCUGCAUGAUCAAGUUGUGGAAAAGUUUACUUGCAUACCAUCUCCAAGGAUCUGGCACAUCUAAUAGUUUCACUUUGGUUCUUCAGCAGUUUCUUUCGAAAUUACUCAUUACACUUCUAGGGCGAGUACGAACUACAGAAAGUUUUUGUUUUUGGUUAAGUUAAAAUAUGCAUUUAUCGGAAUCAUGGAAGUUCAAGUUCAUGUUUCGAGAUUCUACAAGACUAAUUUUAUUGUUUUAUCUAUUUAUUAUGAAUUCCUUGACUAUGAACAAUCUAUAUUUA